rnacentral:rRNA from 1 species
GAGGAAUAUUGGUCAAUGGACGAGAGUCUGAACCAGCCAAGUAGCGUGAAGGAUGACUGCCCUAUGGGUUGUAAACUUCUUUUAUACGGGAAUAAAGUGAGGUACGUGUGCCUUUUUGUAUGUACCGUAUGAAUAAGGAUCGGCUAACUCCGUGCCAGCAGCCGCGGUAAUACGGAGGAUCCGAGCGUUAUCCGGAUUUAUUGGGUUUAAAGGGAGCGUAGGCGGACGCUUAAGUCAGUUGUGAAAGUUUGCGGCUCAACCGUAAAAUUGCAGUUGAUACUGGGUGUCUUGAGUACAGUAGAGGCAGGCGGAAUUCGUGGUGUAGCGGUGAAAUGCUUAGAUAUCACGAAGAACUCCGAUUGCGAAGGCAGCCUGCUGGACUGUAACUGACGCUGAUGCUCGAAAGUGUGGGUAUCAAACAGGAUUAGAUACCCUGGUAGUCCACACAGUAAACGAUGAAUACUCGCUGUUUGCGAUAUACAGUAAGCGGCCAAGCGAAAGCGUUAAGUAUUCCACCUGGGGAGUACGCCGGCAACGGUGAAACUCAAAGGAAUUGACGGGGGCCCACACAAGCGGAGGAACAUGUGGUUUAAUUCGAUGAUACGCGAGGAACCUUACCCGGGCUUGAAUUGCAACUGAAUGAUGUGGAGACAUGUCAGCCGCAAGGCAGUUGUGAAGGUGCUGCAUGGUUGUCGUCAGCUCGUGCCGUGAGGUGUCGGCUUAAGUGCCAUAACGAGCGCAACCCUUAUCGAUAGUUACCAUCAGGUUAUGCUGGGGACUCUGUCGAGACUGCCGUCGUAAGAUGUGAGGAAGGUGGGGAUGACGUCAAAUCAGCACGGCCCUUACGUCCGGGGCUACACACGUGUUACAAUGGGGGGUACAGAAGGCAGCUACACGGCGACGUGAUGCUAAUCCCGAAAGCCUCUCUCAGUUCGGAUUGGAGUCUGCAACCCGACUCCAUGAAGCUGGAUUCGCUAGUAAUCGCGCAUCAGCCACGGCGCGGUGAAUACGUUCCCG